rnacentral:rRNA from 1 species
UACAGAGGUCUCAAGCGUUUGUUCGGAUUCAUUGGGCGUAAAGGGUGCGUAGGCGGCGCGGUAAGUCGGGUGUGAAAUUUCGAGGCUUAACUUCGAAACUGCAUUCGAUACUGCCGUGCUAGAGGACUGGAGAGGAGACUGGAAUUUACGGUGUAGCGGUGAAAUGCGUAGAUAUCGUAAGGAAGACCAGUGGCGAAGGCGGGUCUCUGGACAGUUCCUGACGCUGAGGCACGAAGGCCAGGGGGAGCAAACGGG